AUUGAACGCUGGCGGCAUGAUUUGCACAUGCAAGUCGAACGGUAACAGGCCGCAAGGUGCUGACGAGUGGCGAACGGGUGCGUAAUGCAUCGGAACGUGCCCAGUCGUGGGGGAUAACUACUCGAAAGAGUAGCUAAUACCGCAUACGAUCUAUGGAUGAAAGCGGGGGACCGUAAGGCCUCGCGCGAUUGGAGCGGCCGAUGUCAGAUUAGGUAGUUGGUGGGGUAAAGGCUCACCAAGCCAACGAUCUGUAGCUGGUCUGAGAGGACGACCAGCCACACUGGGACUGAGACACGGCCCAGACUCCUACGGGAGGCAGCAGUGGGGAAUUUUGGACAAUGGGCGCAAGCCUGAUCCAGCAAUGCCGCGUGCAGGAAGAAGGCCUUCGGGUUGUAAACUGCUUUUGUACGGAACGAAACGGCUCUGGUUAAUACCCGGGGCUAAUGACGGUACCGUAAGAAUAAGCACCGGCUAACUACGUG
rnacentral:rRNA from 1 species